UCCACGCUGUAAACGAUGUGCACUAGAUGUGGUGGUAUCGACCCUACCGUGUCGUAGCUAACGCGUUAAGUGCACCGCCUGGGGAGUACUGCCGCAAGGCAGAAACUCAAAGGAAUUGACGGGGCCCGCACAAGCGGUGGAGCAUGUCAUUAAUACGAAGCAACGCGUAGAACCUUACCAGGGCUUGACAUGCAGCUGCAAAUCCCAUGAAAGUGGGACUCCUUCGAGG
rnacentral:rRNA from 1 species